GACGAACGCUGGCGGCGUGCUUAACACAUGCAAGUCGAACGGAAAGGCCCUGCUUUUGUGGGGUGCUCGAGUGGCGAACGGGUGAGUAACACGUGAGUAACCUGCCCUUGACUUUGGGAUAACUUCAGGAAACUGGGGCUAAUACCGGAUAGGAGCUCCUGCUGCAUGGUGGGGGUUGGAAAGUUUCGGCGGUUGGGGAUGGACUCGCGGCUUAUCAGCUUGUUGGUGGGGUAGUGGCUUACCAAGGCUUUGACGGGUAGCCGGCCUGAGAGGGUGACCGGCCAACUUGGGACUGGGAAACGGCCCGACUCCUACGGGAGGCAGCAGUGGGGAAUAUUUCACAAUGGGCGGAAGCCUGAUGCAGCAACGCCGCGUGCGGGAUGACGGCCUUCGGGUUGUAAACCGCUUUCGCCUGUGACGAAGCGUGAGUGACGGUAAUGGGUAAAGAAGCACCGGCUAACUACGUG
rnacentral:rRNA from 1 species